AGUGAAUUUUCAGUGUUAAUAUUUAGUUAGGAUCCUGUCCGACGAUGCCAUCGAUUUUUGUCUAAAUUUUGCAAACAGUCCCGAUGAUAUAAUAAGACGGCCAUCAAAAGUGAGUUUGCAGGUAGCAUCUCCAUGAAAGUAAUGACAAGUUUGGUGCAAAAGCAAGAAACAAAUAUUUCUGCAUAAAGAGCUGGAACCUGACAACAUGGAAGAGACCCAUACCAUUCUAACCUCGGAAAAUGACCGGUUGGUCAAGAGCAAUUUUAUUACACUUCCACCGAAACUUGAGUCAUUCAUGCGUUCCAGUCCUUGCUACUCGUUGACCUGGUUGGAUUAUCUUGAGAACCACAUCCCUCUGAGCCAUGCCUCUCGGAGCAUAUCCCCUGUAUCCACUCCACUGCACCGCCUGCAAGUUCACAAACCCCUAGCAGGCCUGCCCUAGGUGCACCGAUCUCUGCCCCUUGAGCCAUCCACCUCGGCAGGUUUCACCAUGAGGGACAAGGAAGCCAUUUUGAAGCGGAAGCUGUCAAGGAUUCGAGGAGUGGAAGGGACAAGGAAUUCCAAGCUUGUGUUCACAUCGUACUGAAGAAGUCUCCUGUAGUUGCGGCGGAAAAGGCGACUGAUGCGAAGCCUUCUCUCAACUAGUCCAAAUGAAGAAAGCUCUGCAGUUGGAACUAGAUGUGACCUUACCAGGAGAAGGGAAAGACGGGAUGUUCAAAGCUUCCAUUAAGUUUGAAGGCAAAGUUAGUAUGGCCCUGCCAGAGUCUGCCUUGAAAGGAGAAGUAGUCAAUAUACCACACGAUGCUGUGCAAGCUCUGGAUGUUAGAAUGAGACAUUCACCUUCUCUUAGAAAGCACAGAGUCCCAUUCAUUAGAGCAAGGACCUGGAAUCAAAGAUACAUCUGGCAGAAGUCGCCCAACUGGGAGCAUGCAAUUUGGGGCUAGAUACUGAAGAAUCUGUUCUCUGCUGGAAGAUGAACUACACAAAUUCAGGUCAAAAGUCAGGAAGAUGCAUAGAAAUGUGCUACCUGUGUCAUGCCACUCAGUGUACAACAUGGAUACACACCCUUAUCUGAUGCCCAGCUUUUUCAAGCAGAAUGCACAGAGAGUCUACCAGAGACAAGGAUGUGGCACCGAUCUUGGAAUCAUCCUCUACAAGGGGACUGCGAUGUGAACAGUUAUUGGUAUUUAUGUGAUGCCAAGUAUGGACUAAACUCUCUCUCACUCUCUCUCCCUCUCUCUGAUGUUAAUGCUUUUUUCAAUGAAAAAAUGUGUAUUUUUUACUGUGUUUGAUGAAGGCUUUAUGUAGCUCCAAACAGCAGGUCCAAGCUAUUAUUUAUUUGGUGACGGUUUAUUGAAUAUGAAUUAUGUGUUCAUUGAUGGAUGCUUUUACUAUGUAAGGCAUUAUUACUAGAAGUAAAUAAUUAUUUGUGCUAAGGUUGGAAAUGAUUUGCAAUUAUUUUGAAGAUGGUGUGGUAAUUAGGCUUGUACAUUAUUUUAGUUAAAUUUAUAGAGCGUUGCAACUUUCUCUUGAUGAAGUAUUUUUGUUCAUUUUUUGUGUUGACAAUUCUGCAAAAGUGGGUCCAAAGGUUUUCCAGAGUUUUUCACGAUUGCGUUUUAUCUCUGGUUUUUUACCCUGGAUCUACUUGUCGUAGAAUUGUUCAGCACCCCCCCCCCCCCCCCCCGCAAAUUUUUACACAAUGCCCUUGUUUUUCCAUGAAUAUUACAUGUAUACUGAUAUUUUCUGUAAAUAAUUACACCAAGAAAGCUUAUAAGAAUUUUAUCAGUCGCUAAAUUAGAGAUAAAGGGUGUUUCAAAUGCACAGAAUACCAUUUAUUUUGUUUUAUUAAAUUUCAACCUAUUUGAUUAGGCCUAGCAAUCAUUUAAUAAUUUUCUCUUCAUUUUUAUUUAUCAAACAAUUUCAGUAUCAUUGGCAUACAUAAUGAUUUUUUUUCAUAGGACUUUAAUGUCGUUACUGGUUACUAAAAACAACAUUAUAGGUCCAGGUAUACUUCCUUGCAGGUAUACUUACAGUACAUUGCAUGUUUAUGGGCAGAAUAUGAGAAGAAUUAAACUAAAUCCCUUACAAAAAUUUGAUGCAUGAACUGUGAAAAUUGUAAUCGCAAUCCAUCCUCAAAUUCUACUACUGAAAUCAACAAGUUUUGCAACAAUCAAAUUUUUACAUUGCUUCAUAUUCUCUAGGACUGUAUGUUUAUGAUUAUCCUAGCGUAACAAGUAUUUCAAAGUCAGUGCUGCAAAUCCAUUGAAUUCAUGUGCAAACUCUUGGCUCAAAGCGCAUGUGAACAACUACUCCAUGCAUUAAUUUCAUCUCAUUCAAAUUAUGGUAAUAUAAUUAUUUUGGGAAUUCCUAGACAGAUAUUAGCAAAGCAGAAUACAAUCUUUUCAAGCUCCAGUAGAUUCCUUAUUUUAACAUCUAGAAUGUCGUCUAUCACAUCAGUGCUAUGUUCUCUUCAAAGAUCCCAUUUUAAACUAGUAUUACUCGUCCAUCGGGCUAUUUACAGGAUGGCUCCAUAUUACAUUUAAGACAUGUCUCACCCCUACAAAAAUUUGAUGAAAAUUCCCUGUAUCAGUAUUAAUGGGGUGAUAGGUCCUUCUCACAUGCUGUGGCCAAGUUGUGGAAUCAUCUUCCCCAGUCACUUCACAAAAUUUGCCCCAUUUAAUAUGAGAACAAAUCUUUUAUUGUAACAUAAAUUAGCAUAAUUAAUUAGCUAUUUAUUAUAUGUCAAUUUCAGAAAUUGGAUUAUCGUCUUAUAGAGGACAUCUUAGGCGAUAUGUGUGCCAAAUUUAUUGAUUGUCACCUGCUCAUUAGCUAUGCCUCUCAAACCAUACCCUGGUUUAUUAGAAAAUAACUAUUCUUGUUUAUUGUUCACAUCUAAACAUUGUUUUGUCAUCACUCACUGGUCUGAUUGGCGUCCUGUUGGGGAGCUGUUGUCCUCAUUUGCUAGAGCUCCUGUGAGUAGUGAGCUGACCGGGCUUGUCCCUUAAAUUGUCGGUGAACGGGGCAGCAAGCACGAGAGCACCAGGCCUCGUCGGGAUAUAGCUAAGAACUCCAGUGAGUGCUGCAAAGUGUGUGUAAUUUAACUUGAAGAUUUAUUUGUAGAAUUUAUUAUGUUUAUAUCUUUACGUACAAGAAAAACUUUAGAUGU